UCAGGAUGAACGCUGGCGGCGUGCUUAACACAUGCAAGUCGAACGGACUUAGGGCACCGUUCCGGAUCUAGCUUGCUAUGAAGGAGACACCGUUCUAAGUUAGUGGCGGACGGGUGAGUAACGCGUGGGCAACCUGCCUUUAUCCGGGGGAUAACAGUUAGAAAUGACUGCUAAUACCGCAUAAGCGCACGAAUGGGCAUCCAUUUGUGUGAAAAACUCCGGUGGAUAGAGAUGGGCCCGCGUUAGAUUAGCCAGUUGGCGGGGUAACGGCCCACCAAAGCGACGAUCUAUAGCCGGCCUGAGAGGGCGACCGGCCACAUUGGGACUGAGACACGGCCCAAACUCCUACGGGAGGCAGCAGUGGGGAAUAUUGCACAAUGGGGGAAACCCUGAUGCAAGCGACGCCGCGUGAGUGAAGAAGUAUUUCGGUAUGUAAAGCUCUAUCAGCAGGGAAGAAAAUGACGGUACCUGCACAAGAAGCCCCGGCUAACUACGUGCCAGCAGCCGC
rnacentral:rRNA from 1 species